rnacentral:rRNA from 1 species
ACAGCAGUAGCCGCGGUAAUACGUAGGUCCCGAGCGUUGUCCGGAUUUAUUGGGCGUAAAGCGAGCGCAGGCGGUUAGAUAAGUCUGAAGUUAAAGGCUGUGGCUUAACCAUAGUACGCUUUGGAAACUGUUUAACUUGAGUGCAGAAGGGGAGAGUGGAAUUCCAUGUGUAGCGGUGAAAUGCGUAGAUAUAUGGAGGAACACCGGUGGCGAAAGCGGCUCUCUGGUCUGUAACUGACGCUGAGGCUCGAAAGCGUGGGGAGCAAACAGGAUUAGAGACCCGCGUAGUCCCUGUCUUCUUAUAC